rnacentral:rRNA from 1 species
GAUCAACGCUGGCGGCGUGCCUUACGCAUGCAAGUCGCACGGUCCCUUCGCAAGAGGGGGUAGUGGCGGACGGGUGAGGAACACGUACGUGACCUGCCUACUAGUGGGGGAUACCCUUCCGAAAGGGAGGUUAAUACCGCAUGUGGUCUCCUUGGUGCGCCAGGGAGAGUAAAGUUGCAAGGCGCUAGUAGAGGGGCGUGCGGCGGAUUAGCUGGUUGGUGGGGUAACGGCCUACCAAGGCGACGAUCCGUAGCUGGUCUGAGAGGACGGCCAGCCACACGGGGACUGAGACACGGCCCCGACUCCUACGGGAGGCAGCAACGAGGAAUCUUGGGCAAUGGGCGCAAGCCUGACCCAGCGACGCCGCGUGGGGGAUGACGGCCUUGGGUUGUAAACCCCUUUUCUGUCGAACGAAGGCCCCUUCGGGGGAUUGACGGUACGGCAGGAAUCAGCCACGGCUAACUACGUGCCAGCAGCAG